rnacentral:rRNA from 1 species
GCAGUCGAACGGCAGCACAGGAGAGCUUGCUCUCUGGGUGGCGAGUGGCGGACGGGUGAGGGAUGCAUCGGAAUCUACUCUUUCGUGGGGGAUAACGUAGGGAAACUUACGCUAAUACCGCAUACGACCUACGGGUGAAAGCCGGGGACCUUCGGGCCUGGCGCGAAUGAAUGAGCCGAUGCCCGAUUAGCUAGUUGGCGGGGUAAGAGCCCACCAAGGCGACGAUCGGUAGCUGGUCUGAGAGGAUGAUCAGCCACACUGGAACUGAGACACGGUCCAGACUCCUACGGGGGCAGCAGUGGGGAAUAUUGGACAAUGGGCGCAAGCCUGAUCCAGCCAUACCGCGUGGGUGAAGAAGGCCUUCGGGUUGUAAAGCCCUUUUGUUGGGAAAGAAAUCCAGCUGGCUAAUACCCGGUUGGGAUGACGGUACCCAAAGAAUAAGCACCGGCUAACUUCGUGCCAGCAGCCGCGGUAAUACGAAGGGUGCAAGCGUUACUCGGAAUUACUGGGCGUAAAGCGUGCGUAGGUGGUUAUUUAAGUCCGUUGUGAAAGCCCUGGGCUCAACCUGGGAACUGCAGUGGAUACUGGAUGACUAGAAUGUGGUAGAGGGUAGCGGAAUUCCUGGUGUAGCAGUGAAAUGCGUAGAGAUCAGGAGGAACAUCCAUGGCGAAGGCAGCUACCUGGACCAACAUUGACACUGAGGCACGAAAGCGCGGGGAGCAAACAGGAUUAGAUACCCUGGUAGUCCACGCCCUAAACGAUGCGAACUGGAUGUUGGGUGCAAUUUGGCACGCAGUAUCGAAGCUAACGCGUUAAGUUCGCCGCCUGGGGAGUACGGUCGCAAGACUGA